GGCACAGGAAACGAAGUGAAUGUUUACAGCUACUUGGGGGAGUAUGAGGAUCUAGAAGCAAAGAAAAGGGAUGUAUAAUGGAGAAAGCAGCAAGAACACUAACAUUUCUGAAUAUACUUAGAGGACUCUGCUGACUGCAUCUCUUGGAAAAGAAGGAAGCAGGGCAAAGCAUGGCAGUGCUUAAAGGAACAAAGAGCAGAAGGGGCACUGACGGGAUCAGGUGUGCACGUUGUAAGUUACAGAGAACGACAACUGUAUUCAGUACUCCAGAGAUGCAGCAAUGACCUUCAGAAGGACAAAGCCUUCAAUUCUGCCACUACGUAACUGAGUUUUAGCAGAAUGUUCCAGGGACAGACUUUAACAAUAAAUAGCUAAU